rnacentral:rRNA from 1 species
UACGGAAGGCAGCAGUGGGGAAUAUUGCACAAUGGGCGCAAGCCUGAUGCAGCCAUGCCGCGUGUAUGAAAAAGGCCUUCGGGUUGUAAAGUACUUUCAGUCGUGAGGAAGGUGUUAAGGUUAAUAACCUUAGCAAUUGACGUUAGCGACAGAAGAAGCACCGGCUAACUCCGUGCCAGCAGCCGCGGUAAUACGGAGGGUGCGAGCGUUAAUCGGAAUUACUGGGCGUAAAGGGCACGCAGGCGGUUAAUUAAGUUGGAUGUGAAAUCCCCGGGCUUAACCUGGGAAUGGCAUUCAAGACUGGUUAGCUAGAGUCUUGUAGAGGGGGUAGAAUUCCAUGUGUAGCGGUGAAAUGCGUAGAGAUGUGGAGGAAUACCGGUGGCGAAGGCGGCCCCUCGGACAAACGACUGACGCUCAUGUGCGAAAGCGU